UUACUAUGAAUGCAAGUCAUUAAUACCUUUAGUUGGUCCUAGUACUGAUUUGGUGUGUUGAUACAUCCUGAAUAGCAUUGUGGUAUUCAAACCAGCUCUUUUUGGUAUGAGAAAUGCAUGUUAGAUGUGAUAUGGUGGAUAUUUGUAAACCAACAGUCCUACAGCUCACGGACAGCAUAUGAAUGUGGACCAUUUUCUAGGUUUGUGAUCAUUAUUGUUAGUCCCUCUUCCUACCAAUUUCUUCAUGAUAGUAACAUGCUAAUGCCAGAACCCACAAAUGCGAGCCGAUCUAAUACUCAUCUUGCAUUUUUAAGGCCAAUUCAUCAAAUCGCUUUUUGUGGGGGAAUGUUGGUGUUUAAUCCAUCUGAUAUCUGAUACAAUUUAUUGUAAGUGAAAGGACUGAACUUCUGGUCAAAACCAUGUGCGCUUGAACUCUUGAAGAAAGAGUAGUACUGUACCGACGCUGUGAGGUUCCGGUUGAUCUGAUGUCCAUGUCUCUUGGGAAAUUUGUCAAAAUUAAGUGCUUCAAUUUUGGCUUCUUUUUGUUCAGAAUUUAUUUUUAGAUCAUAACCUAGGUAGGUGAAAUAGACACCAUAUGUUUGGAAAUCAAUUCAGUUGUAGAAAUGUAAUGUCUUUUGAUACAUUUAUUUAGUGGGUUCCUUCUCUGUCUGUUGAUGA